ACAGAGUAGAGUAAUAAAGUUCAAAAUCAUUUUGUUUGAAUUACUUCACCUAUCUAUUUGUUUAAAAUUAUGUAUGGUAGAUUCUGUGGUAUGAACACUUGCAAAAUUACUCAAAAAAAUUUAAAAUAUGUGACAUUAUGUUGCCUUGACAACACUUGACACAACGUGAGCCUGCGUUCAGUGCUGGCCAAUUGCUAAUAGUUCAUGUUAAAUCAAUGUUUGGAAAAUAUAGGCAAGGGGUUGCUGCAUGCAUUUAUUUCUAGUUAAGUAUUAAUUGGACAUGCUCAUGUCACUAGUGGUAUUCAUUAUAUCUUGGUCAGACAAAACAAAUUCCACAACCCACAGGUUAAAAUAGACAUCUUGUGAAUUAUAUCACAAACGAUUAAUAAUUUUUUGCUCCAGCAAGCACAGAUUCACCAGAAACAUGUAACCUCAUGAGUUUACACACCCCAAAACAACACUUUCCUAAAAUGAUAGCUUUCCUGUAUCAUUUAAUUUUAUAACUGGACUUAGCUGAUCUGUUCUUAUAGUUUUUAUAUUUUUAGACUUUUUGUUAUUCAAGUUUGAAACGAGACCAAGAUUGGUAGCGUUUAAUUUUGACAAUUUAAGAGAAUGUAGUUCUGCAUUACUGUUUUUCUCUGUAUCUCAUCCUUAAUAAGCCUACCAUUUUUAAAUGUCAAAUUGCCUCUUUCUUUCCUCUUCUAUAUAUUAAUAGUUUUUCUUUGGAAAAUAUCAGUAAUCAUAUUUCUAAUCUGUACAGUUCUGUUCCUACACAACAUCUUCGCACCCACACAUCGUGUUUAGGACUGAAGUUCCAGAUCAUGGAAAUGCUCUGCCAACAGCCCUGCGGGUUCCCAAAGAGUGUGUAGCCCAUGUAUAUCAUAGUACAAACCAUAGAAAUAAAAUUAAAACAAUAUAUAUUUCAUUUCAAAUGCUUUUUUUUUCAUUAAUGUACAAUAACUAGGGAAUUUUAUGUAAAGUGCAAUUCUACAUUCUCUUCCAUUGACUUGAAUAUGUUUAUGGCUAGCAUUUAUUUGAUGUACUACAACAAAUCCACUAAGUUUCAAUGGACAUACAUAGCAUCUCCCUACUUGAAAUAAGCCAUAAGGCAUUAUAUUUGAUAUUUUAAUUAAUAUCUUAAUUAUUACAGAAAUGAUUGCACAACAGGCCUUAAAAUAUCGGUCGGUCACGGACAUUGUCCGACCCAUUCGUGAAAUUGUCCGACGAAGAAAGGAAACCACCGGACAUUCUGUCCGACCAAAGUG